GAAUAUUGGACAAUGGGCGCAAGCCUGAUCCAGCCAUGCCGCGUGAGUGAAGAAGGCCCUAGGGUUGUAAAGCUCUUUCACCCGCGAAGAUGAUGACGGUAGCGGGAGAAGAAGCCCCGGCUAACUCCGUGCCAGCAGCCGCGGUAAUACGGAGGGGGCUAGCGUUGUUCGGAUUUACUGGGCGUAAAGGGCGCGUAGGCGGAUGUUCGCGUCAGAGGUGAAAGCCCCGGGCUCAACCUGGGAACUGCCUUUGAAACGGGACAUCUUGAGUUCGGGAGAGGGUAGCGGAAUUCCCAGUGUAGAGGUGAAAUUCGUAGAUAUUGGGAAGAACACCGGUGGCGAAGGCGGCUGCCUGGCCCGAUACUGACGCUGAGGCGCGAAAGCGUGGGGAGCAAAC
rnacentral:rRNA from 1 species